CCUACGGGUGGCAGCAGUAGGGAAUAUUGCUCAAUGGGGGAAACCCUGAAGCAGCAACGCCGCGUGGAGGAUGAAGGUUUUAGGCUUGUAAACUCCUUUUGUGAGAGAAGAUAAUGACGGUUACUCACGCAUAAGCACCGGCUAACUCCGUGCCAGCAGCCGCGGUAAUACGGGGGGUGCCAGCGUUACUCGGAAUCACUGGGCGUAAAGAGUGCGCAGGCGGGCUUGUAAGUCUGAUGUGGAAUCCUGGGGCUUAACUACAGAACUGGAUUGGAAACUAUUAGGCUAGAGGGUGGGAGAGGUAGGUGGAAUUCGUGGUGUAGGGGUGAAAUCCGUAGAUAUCAAGAGGAAUACUGAUUGCGAAGGCGACCUACUGGAACAUUACUGACGCUCAUACACGAAAGCGUGGGGAGCAAACAGGAUUAGAUACCCCUGUAGUC
rnacentral:rRNA from 1 species